GGUGGGGUGGCCGAGUGGUUGAAGGCGACGGUCUUGAAAACCGUUAUACCCCAAAAGGGUAUCGUGAGUUCGAAUCUCACCCCCACCG
rnacentral:tRNA from 1 species